rnacentral:rRNA from 1 species
UACGAAGGGGGCUAGCGUUGUUCGGAAUUACUGGGCGUAAAGCGUGCGCAGGCGGCUUUUCAAGUCAGUGGUGAAAGCCCGGAGCUCAACUCCGGAACUGCCAUUGAAACUGUUUAGCUUGAGGACGAGAGAGGUGAGUGGAAUUCCCAGUGUAGAGGUGAAAUUCGUAGAUAUUGGGAAGAACACCGGUGGCGAAGGCGGCUCACUGGCUCGUUUCUGACGCUCAUGCACGACAGCGUAGGGAU